GCAGACUAGCGGUUCCAGUUCACUUGAUUGUUGCAACCUAUAUAACUGUUGCAUACGCACUCAUUAACUGCAUAAGAAAUUAAAAACCUACCCAGUUGGUAAGCCAUUUGAUUCUCAUGUUGGAUUUUUUGGUUUAUCUCUCUAUCUUUCAAAGUUUUCUCCACAUAUAUGUUCUCGAAUGCAAAGAGUCAAUUCCUUCUCUCCUUCUUUAAUUUGGCAGAUGGGGUUUUCAAUUUGAUUCUCCACCCAAGACAGAGAGUCCAUGUGUAAAGAGAGAAGGCAAAGAGGGUCUGGCAUUUGGACGGCGACGAUUGAGUUGUUGCUGCUGCUCAAAAAAUGGAUUGCAACAUGGACAAUUAAGUUGCUGCUUGAGUAUCAUUAAAGUAAGAAAAUAGCGUUGCUAUAGCGUAAGAGGAGAGAAGAGAAACAGUUGAGUCAUCCUCUUCCUGUUUUAGAAUGUGGGGGACGGUUUUAGAUGGAGGAACCAAAGUUGUUCUGCAAUAUCUCAAGGACAAAUUGAAAUGACUAGAAGAUUAGAGACAUACACGAGGGAAAUUGCAAAAAAUUAUUGGUAGGUUCUUUUUGGUUAUAUAAUCUCUUACCUUUGAGAUUAAUCAGUUUUGGAUCAUUUUACUUCCAUUUCAAAAUGGCAGUUACUAAACACAAUAGGUUUCACUUUCACUACCAAUUCAUAUGUAGUUUGAUGUUUAACUCUUAUUUCCAGACUAAGGGUGUCAAAUUCUAAAUGAUGGAGAGAGUCACUAGGGUGCUAACAGGGCCGGUCCAGAGAUUUUUGAGGCCCGGGGCGACGUAAAAAAAAGUGCCCUAACUUCA